GAAGUUACUCGGUACAUCGGUGACAGGUGGUGCAUGGUUGUCGUCAGCUCGUGUCGUGAGAUGUUGGGUUAAGUCCCGCAACGAGCGCAACCCCUAUUGUUAGUUGCCAUCAUUCAGUUGGGCACUCUAGCGAGACUGCCGGUAAUAAACCGGAGGAAGGUGGGGAUGACGUCAAAUCAUCAUGCCCCUUAUGACCUGGGCUACACACGUGCUACAAUGGUUGGUACAACGAGUUGCGAGUCGGUGACGGCGAGCUAAUCUCUUAAAGCCAAUCUCAGUUCGGAUUGUAGGCUGCAACUCGCCUACAUGAAGUCGGAAUCGCUAGUAAUCGCGGAUCAGCACGCCGCGGUGAAUACGUUCCCGGGCCUU
rnacentral:rRNA from 1 species